rnacentral:lncRNA from 1 species
AUGAACCCGCCGCCCGCGGGGCUCGAACUCGCGCGCAUCGCCCCUGCCCCGACCCGGCCCGGAGCAGCUCUGGGACCCCAAGCGCGCGCACUCGCCGGUCGCCAGGAGCAGACGCACAGCGACACUCUGCAGAACGAGCCGUCUCAGACCACGCGCCCUCGCCCCGCCGCCCCGGGGUCCGGCAGCCGGGGCCCCGCAGCGCCCGCCCCUGGCCCCAGCCCGGCCCAGGUUUGCCGCAGCCGCGGGAGACGCGCGCUCACCUACUGGCGACUCCUCGGCGGCCGGGCCCGACCCUGCGCUCGCUGCGCGUCGCUUUCGCCGUCCGCCGGUGGCUGGCUGUCCCGCCGCUCGGCGUCCCGGCGGCCCGACCUCGGCGCGGGAGCGCGCGGGGCGGCGCGGGGAGGGCGCGGGCUGGCAGCGCCGCUCCUCCGCUGCCUGCGCGCCUCCGCAGCGCCAGGGCCGGCCGCCGGCUGCAGCCCAAACCUGACUCACGGCGGCGGCGGCGGCGGGCGCAGCCACCUCCCGCCUCCUCCCGCCGGUGGGGUGGGCGCUGCGGGCGCCGGCCGGAAGUGGCGACCUUGCGGGUGGGCAGGCUGGGCAGGGAUGGGCUCUCCCGCAGCGCCCAGCCCGGCGCCCGCGCCACCUGCCUGCGUCUCCCAGAUCCCACCCGCUCCCUGUGUCCUCCCUCUGGCUGGGCCCCGGCCCCUCGCUGAGCCGUCCCACCUGUCUUUCCGGGAGGCCCUUCCCCUUCUGUGCUUCCCCUGUCUCGCCCCGCCCCGGUUCCCAGGACCCUUCCCUCUGUGCUGCCCUUCUCUGCCCGGUGAGUUUCCUGCUCCAUCUGGGCUCUCUCUGCGUCUCAGCCCUUGCCCCUACCCACCUAGUCCCAGGCCAGGUGGGUGUCUGGGCCUCCCAAGCCCUCUGCCCACAGAGCCCUCUGCCCACAGUCUGUCUUCACGAAGUCAGUGCUCACGUCUAGCCAGGCUCCUGUCUGCGCGCCUGUCCCCACAGGACUCCGCUCCUAUCAAGCCCCACCAGGGCCCUAGUUCCUCCUGA